CUUGCGAACUGCGAACUUGUGUGACUCCCGGUUCAUCCUCUUUGUUCGGGUCAUUGGGUUGGUGUUGGAGUUGGUCACCAUAUUCUGAACGUUUCACCUAUCGUUGCGGUGUACUGUUCUUGAUCUGCUGCGAAGCGAUGAACCGCAACGGCAGUCACUCGCCUCAUUGAACUUCUGUCUGCUGCAUCUCAAAGGAGCAUGGGGACCUGAUGAUACCUUCAACUAAAGAAACCAAAUGUGCUCUCGUGUGGUCCUGACGGAAAAGUAGUAUCAACAAGAACCCUCCACUUUUUCGACCAAGUUAUCGUUAUGAGAUCCUUCUGAUGGCCUUCUGAGGCUAUGCCGCUCCGAAGCAUUGAGAUGACGAAGCGUCGUGGUAGCUGCACCUCUGCCUUCGAAAGAUGAAUCAGUCAUUCCACACUGUGCUUACUGGCUUUGUGUAGAGUCUGGCAAAUCCGACAGACUUGGACUGCCUUUUUCAAGAAAGUUUGAAAUAGCAUCCCUUAUGCACCUGCAUUUCAAUUCCAAUCUGUAUUACAAGAAUGACACCACUCAACAGAGAUGAACAUCUGAAAGUGAAAGAGCUGGAAUGAAGAUACGUUAAUCUGUGUCAAAGGUUCUUAGUAUGUGUGCGAGUCGAGGACAUAGGUCUCAAGCUUAUUCCUGUCUUCAGAAGAGGUGACAACUAUGCUCCUUCUAUCUAUUAACCAGCUCCACUUUUUAGGGUUCCCUGUAAACUAAUGGAGCACAUCAUGUACUACCACGUUGUCAACUAAGUUGACUCUGUCAAUUUCUUUUUUUAAAUUCCAGCAUGGCUUUAGAAAAGGGUAUUCAGGCAAAACUAACGUAGUGGAAUUCGUUCACAGCAUUUCAAACUGUCUUGAUUUCUGGGUCCAUGUAGAUGUAGUAUUCUUUUUAUUUUGUAAGGGCUUUUGACACUGUGCUCUACGCUCGCGUGUUGGCCAAAGUAGCCUAAUUAAAAUUUGAUCCUGCUACCUGGAUAUGCAGUUUCUCAACUAACCGUAACUGUGGCGACAACUCGUGAGGAGAACCUAUCAUAUCGCCACCAUGCAGCAUUUGUUAUAUUACAAUCGCUUCACAUUUUAAUCUAGUCAAAAGCAAGGCCUUUUGGUGAUCGGUCUUGUAUAAUACGUGCCCCUCCGUUAUGUAACACCACACU